rnacentral:lncRNA from 1 species
UGGGAUGGGGCUCUUCCACUCGGGUGUGGAUGCGGCCUCCACUGAAGCUUCGACGUCCGGGCAUGGGCACGGUGCUGCGGUGGAGAUGCUCCUGCGACAGAAGCACACACAAAGAGAGCAUGUUGAGAGAGAGAAGAAGAAGAGAAGGGGAAGGGAAGGAGGCGCGAUGGAGAACAACCCGGUCCGACGAGGCGUUGCUGUUGCUGCUGCUGGCGGCAUCACACCAAGGCCAGGGAGCGGGCGGUUGCGGGGCACGCUCGAGGAGAGGCUCGGGCGAUGGGGACCUAGCUGGUUGGCUGCACGCGCAAAAUGAGGAGGAUGGAAUAGUUUCUGGAUCGAUCCCGAUGAGGGAGGAGGUUGGUCGGGUGGCGGCGGCGGCCGGGUGGAU